AACGAACGCUGGCGGCGUGGAUGAGGCAUGCAAGUCGAACGGGAUCCAGCAGGUAGCAAUAUUUGCUGGUGAGAGUGGCGUAAGGGUGAGUAAUGCGUGGGUAAUCUACCUCUAAGAUCGGCAUAGCCCGGCGAAAGCUGGGAUAAUUCCGAAUGUUGUCGGCCGGUGCAUACCGGCUUGUCCAAAGCUGGGGACCGCAAGGCCUGGCACUUGGAGAUGAGCCCACGUCCUAUCAGCUAGUUGGUGAGGUAACGGCUCACCAAGGCUUACGGGUAGCUGGUCUGAGAGGACGAUCAGCCACACUGGGACUGAGACACUGCCCAGACUCCUACGGGAGGCUGCAGUCGAGAAUCUUUCGCAAUGGGCGCAAGCCUGACGAAGCGACGCCGCGUGUAGGAUGAAGGCCUUCGGGUUGUAAACUACUGUCUUUGGGGAGCAACGGCCGGGACGUUAAUACCGUACCGGAUUGAUAGUACUCAAGGAGGAAGCCACGGCUAACUCUGUGCCAGCAGCCGCGGUAAUACAGAGGUGGCGAGCGUUGUUCGGAUUUACUGGGCGUAAAGGGUGCGUAGGCGGUUCUGCGUGUCGGAUGUGAAAUCUCACUGAAAACGGUGAAACGGCAUUCGAAACUGCAGGGCUAGAGUGCAGGAGAGGAUGGCGGAAUUCUCGGUGUAGCGGUGAAAUGCGUUGAUAUCGAGAGGAACGCCGGUGGCGAAGGCGGCCAUCUGGACUGCAACUGACGCUGAGGCACGAAAGCUAGGGGAGCAAACAGGAUUAGAUACCCUGGUAGUCCUAGCCGUAAACGGUGUGAACUUGGUGUGGGAGGAAUUAUCCCCUUCCGUGCCGUAGCUAACGCGAUAAGUUCACCGCCUGGGGAGUACGGCCGCAAGGCUAAAACUCAAAGGAAUUGACGGGGGCCCGCACAAGCGGUGGAGCAUGUGGCUUAAUUCGAUGCAACGCGAAGAACCUUACCUGGGCUUGACAUGUAACUGCAAAUCCGGUGAAAGCCGGACUCCUUCGAGGGUGUUACACAGGUGCUGCAUGGCUGUCGUCAGCUCGUGCCGUGAGGUGUUAGGUUAAGUCCUGCAACGAGCGCAACCCCUGUGAUUAGUUGCUAGUCGCGCAAGCGAAGCACUCUAGUCAGACUGCCUGUGAUAAGCAGGAGGAAGGUGGGGAUGACGUCAAGUCAGUAUGGUCCUUAUGCCCAGGGCUGCACACGUGCUACAAUGUAGGGUACAGAGGGAUGCGAAUCCGCGAGGUGGAGCAAAUCCCAUAAAACCCUACUCAGUUCAGAUUGGAGUCUGCAACUCGACUCCAUGAAGCUGGAAUCGCUAGUAAUGGCGCAUCAGCUACGGCGCCGUGAAUACGUUCCCGGGCCUUGUACACACCGCCCGUCACAUCAUGAAAGCCGAUUGCACCCGAAGUCGCUGUUUCAACCCGCAAGGGGGAUAGGUGCCUAAGGUGUGGUUGGUGAUUGGGAUG
rnacentral:rRNA from 1 species